GCUACCUGCACCUAACGGCGGACGGGUGAGUCAUGCUUAUCGAAUCUGCCGAUUGACUGGGGGACAACAUUCCGAAAGGAAUGCUAAUGCCGCAUACNCCCUAGGGGGGAAAGCAGGGGAUCUUCGGACCUUGCGCUAAUAGAUGAGCCUAAGUCAGAUUACCUAGUUGGUGNGGUAAAGGCCUACCAAGGCGACGAUCUGUAGCGGGUCUGAGAGGAUGAUCCGCCACACUGGGACUGAGACACGGUCCAACUCCUACGGGAGGCAGCAGUGGGGAAUAUUGGACAAUGGGCGAAAGCCUGAUCCAGCCAUGCCGCGUGUGUGAAGAAGGCCUUUUGGUUGUAAAGCACUUUAAGCGAGGGGGAGGCUACUUGGAUUAAUACUCUAGGAUAGUGGACGUUACUCGCAGAAUAAGCACCGGCUAACUCUGUGCCAGCAGCCGCGGUAAUACAGAGGGUGCGAGCGUUAAUCGGAUUUACUGGGCGUAAAGCGUGCGUAGGCGGCUUUUUAAGUCGGAUGUGAAAUCCCUGAGCUUAACUUAGGAAUUGCAUUCGAUACUGGGAAGCUAGAGUAUGGGAGAGGAUGGUAGAAUUCCAGGUGUAGCGGUGAAAUGCGUAGAGAUCUGGAGGAAUACCGAUGGCGAAGGCAGCCAUCUGGCCUAAUACUGACGCUGAGGUACGAAAGCAUGGGGAGCAAACAGGAUUAGAUACCCUGGUAGUCCAUGCCGUAAACGAUGUCUACUAGCCGUUGGGGCCUUUGAGGCUUUAGUGGCGCAGCUAACGCGAUAAGUAGACCGCCUGGGGAGUACGGUCGCAAGACUAAAACUCAAAUGAAUUGACGGGGGCCCGCACAAGCGGUGGAGCAUGUGGUUUAAUUCGAUGCAACGCGAAAAGCUUACCUGGUCUUGACAUAGUAA
rnacentral:rRNA from 1 species